GUAGGUGGCAAGCGUUGUCCGGAAUUAUUGGGCGUAAAGCGCGCGCAGGCGGUUCUUUAAGUCUGAUGUGAAAGCCCACGGCCCAACCGUGGAGGGUCAUUGGAAACUGGAGAACUUGAGUACAGAAGAGGAAAGCGGAAUUCCACGUGUAGCGGUGAAAUGCGUAGAGAUGUGGAGGAACACCAGUGGCGAAGGCGGCUUUCUGGUCUGUAACUGACGCUGAGGCGCGAAAGCGUGGGGAGCAAACAGGGAUUAGAUACCCUGGUAGUCCACGCCGUAAACGAUGAGUGCUAAGUGUUAGGGGGUUUCCCGCCCCUUAGUGCUGCAGCUAACGCAUUAAGCACUCCGCCUGGGGAGUACGGCCGCAAGGCUG
rnacentral:rRNA from 1 species